rnacentral:rRNA from 1 species
GGGUUGUGAGGUUAAGCGACUAAGCGUACACGGUGGAUGCCCUGGCAGUCAGAGGCGAUGAAGGACGUGCUAAUCUGCGAUAAGCGUCGGUAAGGUGAUAUGAACCGUUAUAACCGGCGAUUUCCGAAUGGGGAAACCCAGUGUGAUUCGUCACACUAUCAUUAACUGAAUCCAUAGGUUAAUGAGGCGAACCGGGGGAACUGAAACAUCUAAGUACCCCGAGGAAAAGAAAUCAACCGAGAUUCCCCCAGUAGCGGCGAGCGAACGGGGAGCAGCCCAGAGCCUGAAUCAGUGUGUGUGUUAGUGGAAGCGUCUGGAAAGGCGCGCGAUACAGGGUGACAGCCCCGUACACAAAAAUGCACAUACUGUGAGCUCGAUGAGUAGGGCGGGACACGUGGUAUCCUGUCUGAAUAUGGGGGGACCAUCCUCCAAGGCUAAAUACUCCUGACUGACCGAUAGUGAACCAGUACCGUGAGGGAAAGGCGAAAAGAACCCCGGCGAGGGGAGUGAAAAAGAACCUGAAACCGUGUACGUACAAGCAGUGGGAGCACAGAGCAAUCUGUGUGACUGCGUACCUUUUGUAUAAUGGGUCAGCGACUUAUAUUCUGUAGCAAGGUUAACCGAAUAGGGGAGCCGAAGGGAAACCGAGUCUUAACUGGGCGUUAAGUUGCAGGGUAUAGACCCGAAACCCGGUGAUCUAGCCAUGGGCAGGUUGAAGGUUGGGUAACACUAACUGGAGGACCGAACCGACUAAUGUUGAAAAAUUAGCGGAUGACUUGUGGCUGGGGGUGAAAGGCCAAUCAAACCGGGAGAUAGCUGGUUCUCCCCGAAAGCUAUUUAGGUAGCGCCUCGUGAAUUCAUCUCCGGGGGUAGAGCACUGUUUCGGCAAGGGGGUCAUCCCGACUUACCAACCCGAUGCAAACUGCGAAUACCGGAGAAUGUUAUCACGGGAGACACACGGCGGGUGCUAACGUCCGUCGUGAAGAGGGAAACAACCCAGACCGCCAGCUAAGGUCCCAAAGUCAUGGUUAAGUGGGAAACGAUGUGGGAAGGCCCAGACAGCCAGGAUGUUGGCUUAGAAGCAGCCAUCAUUUAAAGAAAGCGUAAUAGCUCACUGGUCGAGUCGGCCUGCGCGGAAGAUGUAACGGGGCUAAACCAUGCACCGAAGCUGCGGCAGCGACGCUGAUGCGUUGUUGGGUAGGGGAGCGUUCUGUAAGCCUGCGAAGGUGUGCUGUGAGGCAUGCUGGAGGUAUCAGAAGUGCGAAUGCUGACAUAAGUAACGAUAAAGCGGGUGAAAAGCCCGCUCGCCGGAAGACCAAGGGUUCCUGUCCAACGUUAAUCGGGGCAGGGUGAGUCGACCCCUAAGGCGAGGCCGAAAGGCGUAGUCGAUGGGAAACAGGUUAAUAUUCCUGUACUUGGUGUUACUGCGAAGGGGGGACGGAGAAGGCUAUGUUGGCCGGGCGACGGUUGUCCCGGUUUAAGCGUGUAGGCUGGUUUUCCAGGCAAAUCCGGAAAAUCAAGGCUGAGGCGUGAUGACGAGGCACUACGGUGCUGAAGCAACAAAUGCCCUGCUUCCAGGAAAAGCCUCUAAGCAUCAGGUAACAUCAAAUCGUACCCCAAACCGACACAGGUGGUCAGGUAGAGAAUACCAAGGCGCUUGAGAGAACUCGGGUGAAGGAACUAGGCAAAAUGGUGCCGUAACUUCGGGAGAAGGCACGCUGAUAUGUAGGUGAAGUCCCUCGCGGAUGGAGCUGAAAUCAGUCGAAGAUACCAGCUGGCUGCAACUGUUUAUUAAAAACACAGCACUGUGCAAACACGAAAGUGGACGUAUACGGUGUGACGCCUGCCCGGUGCCGGAAGGUUAAUUGAUGGGGUCAGCGCAAGCGAAGCUCUUGAUCGAAGCCCCGGUAAACGGCGGCCGUAACUAUAACGGUCCUAAGGUAGCGAAAUUCCUUGUCGGGUAAGUUCCGACCUGCACGAAUGGCGUAAUGAUGGCCAGGCUGUCUCCACCCGAGACUCAGUGAAAUUGAACUCGCUGUGAAGAUGCAGUGUACCCGCGGCAAGACGGAAAGACCCCGUGAACCUUUACUAUAGCUUGACACUGAACAUUGAGCCUUGAUGUGUAGGAUAGGUGGGAGGCUUUGAAGUGUGGACGCCAGUCUGCAUGGAGCCGACCUUGAAAUACCACCCUUUAAUGUUUGAUGUUCUAACGUUGACCCGUGAUCCGGGUUGCGGACAGUGUCUGGUGGGUAGUUUGACUGGGGCGGUCUCCUCCUAAAGAGUAACGGAGGAGCACGAAGGUUGGCUAAUCCUGGUCGGACAUCAGGAGGUUAGUGCAAUGGCAUAAGCCAGCUUGACUGCGAGCGUGACGGCGCGAGCAGGUGCGAAAGCAGGUCAUAGUGAUCCGGUGGUUCUGAAUGGAAGGGCCAUCGCUCAACGGAUAAAAGGUACUCCGGGGAUAACAGGCUGAUACCGCCCAAGAGUUCAUAUCGACGGCGGUGUUUGGCACCUCGAUGUCGGCUCAUCACAUCCUGGGGCUGAAGUAGGUCCCAAGGGUAUGGCUGUUCGCCAUUUAAAGUGGUACGCGAGCUGGGUUUAGAACGUCGUGAGACAGUUCGGUCCCUAUCUGCCGUGGGCGCUGGAGAACUGAGGGGGGCUGCUCCUAGUACGAGAGGACCGGAGUGGACGCAUCACUGGUGUUCGGGUUGUCAUGCCAAUGGCACUGCCCGGUAGCUAAAUGCGGAAGAGAUAAGUGCUGAAAGCAUCUAAGCACGAAACUUGCCCCGAGAUGAGUUCUCCCUGACUCCUUGAGAGUCCUGAAGGAACGUUGAAGACGACGACGUUGAUAGGCCGGGUGUGUAAGCGCAGCGAUGCGUUGAGCUAACCGGUACUAAUGAACCGUGAGGCUUAACCUUACAACGCCGAAGGUGUUU